GUGGGGAAUAUUGCACAAUGGGCGCAAGCCUGAUGCAGCAACGCCGCGUGAGUGAAGAAGGCCUUCGGGUCGUAAAGCUCUGUCCUGUGGGACGAAACAAAUGACGGUACCACAGGAGGAAGCCCCGGCUAACUACGUGCCAGCAGCCGCGGUAAUACGUAGGGGGCAAGCGUUAUCCGGAAUCACUGGGCGUAAAGGGUGCGUAGGUGGUCCAUCAAGUCAGAAGUGAAAGGCAGUGGCUUAACCACUGUAAGCUUUUGAAACUGACGGACUUGAGUGCAGGAGAGGUAAGUGGAAUUCCUAGUGUAGCGGUGAAAUGCGUAGAUAUUAGGAGGAACACCAGUGGCGAAGGCGACUUACUGGACUGUAACUGACACUGAGGCACGAAAGCGUGGGGAGCGAACAGGAUUAGAUACCCUUGUAGUCC
rnacentral:rRNA from 1 species